rnacentral:rRNA from 1 species
GUAAGGAAUAUUGGUCAAUGGACGCAAGUCUGAACCAGCCAUGCCGCGUGGAGGAUGAAGGUCCUCUGGAUUGUAAACUUCUUUUCUCUGGGACGAAACCCCCGAUUUCUAUCGGGCCUGACGGUACCAGAGGAAUAAGCACCGGCUAACUCCGUGCCAGCAGCCGCGGUAAUACGGAGGGUGCAAGCGUUAUCCGGAUUCACUGGGUUUAAAGGGAGCGUAGGUGGGCAGUUAAGUCAGUGGUGAAAUCUCUGGGCUUAACCCGGAAACUGCCAUUGAUACUAUCUGUCUUGAAUAUUCUGGAGGUAAGCGGAAUAUGUCAUGUAGCGGUGAAAUGCUUAGAUAUGACAUAGAACACCCAUUGCGAAGGCAGCUUACUACGGAAUUAUUGACACUGAGGCUCGAAAGCGUGGGGAUCAAACAGGAUUAGAAACCCUUGUAGUCC